rnacentral:rRNA from 1 species
AUUGAACGCUGGCGGCAGGCCUAACACAUGCAAGUCGAACGAGUCGCGGACGUGUGCGUAAUGUCUGGGAAACUGCCUGAUGGAGGGGUAUAACUACUAGAAACUGUAGCUUAUACCGCAUACCAUCAGAUGUGCCCAUAUGGGAUUAGCUUGUGGGGGGGGUAACGUCUCACCAAGGCGACGAUCCCUAGCUGGUCUGAGAGGAUGACCAGACACACUGGAACUGAGACACGGUCCAGACUCCUACGGGAGGCAGCAGUGGGGAAUAUUGCACAAUGGGCGCAAGCCGGAUGCAGCCAUGCCGCGUGUGUGAAGAAGGCCUUCGGGUUGUAAAGUACUUUCAGCGGGGAGGCGUUACCCGCAGAAGAAGCACCGGCUAACUCCGUGCCAGCAGCCGCGGUAAUUC